CUGGAGUACUUGAAAUUACUUCAUUCUUUUGUGGACUCUGUGGGGGUUAUGAGCCCCCCACUCUCCAGGAGCUCCGUGCUCAAGUCCGCCCUGGGUCCAGACAUCAUCUGUCGGUGGUGGACGUCUGCAAUCACUGUGGCCAUCAGCUGGCUCCAGGGAGACGAUGCAGCUGUGCGCUCUCAUUUUACCAAAGUGGAACGCAUCCCCAAGGCCCUGGAAGUGACAGAGUAAGGAAACUGAGGCACACGUUGGAAUGACUAUCUUGGGUGGCUUCUUAGCAGCAGACGUGAUGGUGAAGCCUGUGUCUCUGACUUCCAGCAUUGAAUGAAGGAGCCCCCUGGUGAAGGCCAUCUUCCAUGCCUGCAGAGCCAUGCAUGCCUCACUCCCUGGGAAAGCAGAUGGGCAGCAGAGUUCCUUCUGCCAUUGCGAGAGGGCCAGUGGCCACCUAUGGAGCAGCCUCAACGUCAGUGGGGCCACCUCUGACCCUGCCCUCAACCACGUGGUCCAGCUGCUCACCUGUGACCUGCUACUGUCGCUACGGACAGCGCUCUGGCAAAAACAGGCCAGUGCCAGCCAGGCUGUGGGGGAGACCUACCACGCGUCAGGCGCUGAACUGGCGGGCUUCCAACGGGACCUGGGCAGCCUGCGCAGGCUGGCACACAGCUUC
rnacentral:lncRNA from 10 species